rnacentral:rRNA from 1 species
CCUACGGGAGGCAGCAGUGAGGAAUAUUGGUCAAUGGACGAGAGUCUGAACCAGCCAAGUAGCGUGAAGGAUGACUGCCCUAUGGGUUGUAAACUUCUUUUAUAUGGGAAUAAAACGUUCCACGUGUGGGAUUUUGUAUGUACCAUAUGAAUAAGGAUCGGCUAACUCCGUGCCAGCAGCCGCGGUAAUACGGAGGAUCCGAGCGUUAUCCGGAUUUAUUGGGUUUAAAGGGAGCGUAGGUGGAUUGUUAAGUCAGUUGUGAAAGUUUGCGGCUCAACCGUAAAAUUGCAGUUGAAACUGGCAGUCUUGAGUACAGUAGAGGUGGGCGGAAUUCGUGGUGUAGCGGUGAAAUGCUUAGAUAUCACGAAGAACUCCGAUUGCGAAGGCAGUUCACUGGACUGCAACUGACACUGAGGCUCGGAAGUGUGGGUAUCAAACAGGAUUAGAUACCCGAGUAGUC